CUUAGGCUUGAUGCAGAAGUGACAAAUGAAAUGAUAUCUACUGAUAAUAAAGAAAUGCUAAAGACAAACAGAGAAAGACUCCAAAUUGGGGACCUAGACAUCAAAUAUUUGGAGGCUAUUAAGAAAUGAGAAAUUCCUGCUACCAAGCAAGUGGAGGCUAUAUUAGACAAAGAUAAUUUCACAUUAGAAGAGCUUCUAGAUGAGGAGGAAGUAAUCUAAGAAUGCAAGGCCUUGAACAGUCAUCUUAUUAAUUUACAUGUUUCCAUUUAAUUUCAACGGAUUGAGUUUUAUUCAUUUUCCUAAGUCUCACAGUUUUGUGCAUUUUCUUGACUAAAUCAAUAUUUUAGUCCUUGAAAUUGUAUGUGACGGUUUAUUUAGUUCCUCAAAUUUCUGAAAUAGCAAUUUUGUCUCAUAAAUUAAAUGUCAGUCAAUU